AAAUUAGAGGAGGGUGAUUCACAACUUCUAAUGUCAAAUGAAAAUUUCCACAAAAAGGGAUGAUCCACUCUCUUUAAGAAAAAAAUCAAGACUUAAAAAAUGAAAAAUAUUUAUUUAAAGGUGGAUAGUCCAUAAUCUUCAAAUAUAAACAUAGAAGUAGAUAAACUACUCACUUCUAAAUCAAAAAAUAAAAAUAAUGAAUUCUUCAUUCUUAUCAAAUUAUCAAAGAUA
rnacentral:lncRNA from 1 species